rnacentral:lncRNA from 1 species
GUAGAAAGUGCCCAAGAACUGGCCGGAAGACAUUUGAGUGGAUUAUCCCCAGGUCCUUGAGUCUGCAGAGUUCCUUAAAUUUCUGAUAAAACAAUCUGCUUUCUCCCUCUGCCAGAGCAAAGCAACCUCUCCUUGCCUGUAGACAAUGUGAAGACCUACCUCAGUUCAGGGCUUCACAGUGUUUUCCUGUCUUCAAGCUCUACCUCCACCACCCCCCUCAAUGCCUCCACACCAACAUCCGGGAUCACAGUUUAGCACUGUCCAGAGAAAGACUAUCUUGGCCUCAGGAAAAAACCCCAGCAGUUUCCCCAGAGAAUUGCAGAACUUGACUAAUAUCACUAGGACAAUCGGCUGGCAUGGACAUAGGAGGACCUCUAAAGACAUUGUGGCUCAUCUGGAAAGGACCUGGACGAAGAAACUGAGCUCUCAAUUCAAAGACCACACAGCUUGCUAUCUUUUUUGCACAUCUCUAAGUAAAAGAAGAGGACGCAAAAGGAUGCUUUCUUGAGUGAAUUGGUGCAGGGCCUGUGCUACAACAUAGAAGGUCCAGUGCACAGAAAGAAGCCCUCCUGGGAAAGAUAUUUCUUUAAUCCAAAUAUUUUAUAAAUUCUGUAAAGACAUUAUAACUGAGCAUUAGAAACUCUUACAUGUGACACACAGAAUUCUC